CUAUAAACCCAGCGUCUUUGGGGCCCUGCAACAUUGCCUGGCCCCAAGGGCAUCUGGACACAGCCAUUCCUCUUGGGUUUGCUGCUCGGUGAGCCCUCAGACCUUCUCCAGGCAGCCCUGUGAAGACCCGAGUGAGGCAGCAGCCAUGAAGAUCCUGUUCCUGCUCCUUCCCCUCAUCCUCCUGUUGGUCCAGGGUGCUUCAGGCAAUGCACUUCUAUGCAAGCGACGAUUGGGAUUCUGCUCCAGGCGUUAUUGCCCUGCUAGUACACGUUUCGCGGGAAGAUGUGCUGGAGAAUAUGUGUGCUGCAGAAGGUACAGGGGUUAAAACCCUGACAUUCCUGAGCAGGACACAGCCCUCGCUUCGUGGCUGCUGGACCCACCUGAUGAUGUCCCCACCUCCUGAUGUCCCCUGCCCUCCCUAGCUGUGCUGUGCCCAGCUGGGCUGACAGCAGCAGUGGCAGCUGCUCCUGCUGGGUGCUGCUGGGCUGCAGCCCUGUGGUGCCAGCCCCGGUGUCUUUGGGCCAGGGGCUGCUUUUCCCAGCUUGAAUAAAGACGAGCACUUUGGC